rnacentral:lncRNA from 1 species
CGUUAGCUUUAGCCUUCGUCUCCGAACAUUCAUUAAUGCCUAUGGUAGCCUCUAAACUAUCUGAUAGAAUCCUGUUGGUGAUUGAUUCCUAUAGAAGAAUAGAUCACAUCUAGGAAGACACCAACACCAGAUGAUGUGAAAUAGGCUUUUAUAUUACGUAAAUGAAAACUGUGAGUACAGAAGAUAGGUAAAUGAUAGAACUACAAGAUUCUAAUGCUAUGUAAAGCUGCUCAACAAACAAUGAAAUGUAUAAAAGAUAGUUGGGUAUUCGAGAGACCCAAUACUCUCGCCUUGAUCCUUCUCAAUGCUCUUGCAAGCCUUAGUUCCCUCUACUUCUAUUUAUAGAUCUCCUCUAACUAACUAAGUCCAAUCAUCCCUUCAAUAACAAAUUCUAUUACUUCCUAGUCAGCUAUUCCAUUCUUCUUCUAGGUCCUUCUAGAAUAGGUAAAUUAUAUAGGAAACUUCUCACCAUCUCUCCUUACACAUUCAGAAACUCCAUUUGAAGGAAUAAGAACUUCCUAAAUACAGGCUAGAAUUUAUUACAGAAAUAGCAUAUUUUAAUUGAAAAUUAAAUUUAUGAAAGCAUUGACGUGACUUAGCAACAACUUUGACAAGAUCUUUUGACCGAAAUAUAAGCGUCUUUAUCAUACUAUCAUUUGCAACUCAGUUCCCCAUUUUAAUCAUCCUUGCAUUUUUCAACACAAUGGCUAGAUCAAACAUAUAUAAAUUAAAUAAAAAGGUAUGAAGACAAUAAUUCUAAUCAUCAUCACUGAGCCUGGUGAAUAGUACUAUGAAUUUGAAAGAUACUUAAUUUACACCUUAUCUAAUGUACACAAAUAAGGAGUUGCCCUAAGCUUGGUUCUUAGUAGAAUAAUUAACAGAAUCCAAAACUUGAAAUCUCGACUUUUUAAUUUAAUCAGCAAAAAAUGAUAAAUGAAUUAACAGCAUGCUAAAGAAUCAAGGAUCAGAUGGCAAAAUUGAACUAUAAAUCAUCACAAAAUAGCAAAAGCACCAUCAGUUCCCAACAUAAUCGAAACUGAUAAAGGAUGACAAAUAAUGAAAAAAACUCAUAAGAGAUUUUUGAAAACUAUAAGAAUUCCAUAAUCAUUGUGGACGUAAGGGGAGUAAAAAUUUCUAGUAUAAACAGAGCCAUCCUUUACAUGAACAUCCACGGGGAGGUCAACAAUGCACAUGGUUAUGAAUAACAAAGCAUCGCUCAUUGUAUGUGAAGACCUCUUGAGAGAAGAUUGAUCAUACUUUCAGAUUUAAUAAGUUCAAAAGUUUAGCAACAGGUUCUUCUUCUAACCUUUUUGUUGCUGUUACAAAGACCAACUCUUUUAUUCUUGUUCAAUCAAAAGCAAAUGAGUAAUAAAAUUUAAUUCAAUAGUGCUAUUUACAAUAUGACCAAUUGAAUGUUGGUUUAGAAUAUGCAUCAGUUAACUGAAAGGAUGUGAUGGACGAAUGUUAAACUAUCAGCAAUUUCUCAUAAUUGACACAGACUUGAAAGGGAUAUGACAGAGGAUUGCAAAAGCACAACUAUGAGAAAAUUAGAUAAAUUAACAAAGAUCAUCAAUUCAUUUCUUUCUAGGUUGAUUGAUAUGAUGAUGAGACAUAUAUUUUCACAUAUUAACAACAAGUGUGAAUAAAUCAUUGGUAAGUACAAUAAUGAAUUUCGAAUAUGAAUAGUUUUUAACAGUAUAGUUUCAAAAUCAUUUGUAUAAUUUCAAAAUUUCGUUCAUGCAUAUUGAAUGUUUAAAAGAACAACGAAACACAUUAAAGUCAACAUUCAUUUGAUUAAAAUAAUAGACUAAAAAUAAAUCAUAAUGCAUAUGAGAACGAAAUAAGGAUUUAAACACAAUUUCAUCUAAUAACACUCAACAGGUUCAGGUACAAUGCUUGAAAAUCUCAAAAUUUAAGAUCAAGAGAAUCCAGCAGAGCGCAGUGUGUAGUUUAGGUUAAACGUGUAAUAUCCAAAGAAAUAAAAUAGAAUGAGGAAAGUAUUACUAAAUGAAAAUAAAGAGAAAAAAAUUUAAGUAACCUGCAUCAAUGACCAUCUUGUCAAUCUCACCGAUGUCUAUCUUCUCAACAGAAGAAUGGUGAGCCACUUCACGUAAGACACAACCAUCUCCUCAUCCAAUAACCACAACCUGAAUUUAAGUAACAUUAACACUUAACAGAAUAAGGAAAAUGAGAAAAACAGAGAGCACCAAUAGUCCAGGUAGGUUGAGUGCGAUAUUGGGAAUCUAAUGAAUCGGUUAAAAAAAAUUAUGGAGUCAUGUGUUGUUAGUCCAACAUCAGCCAAAAUGCCAACAAUGGGAAGGACAUAAUCAUUCAUUCUGGAUGGAAAUGCUGAAGUCUAAAGGCAAGGAAAACAACUUGACAUGCUUAUAUUUUCCAGAAUAGAGUCCGAAAAAAACGAGGGAGAACUUGAGUAAAUGAGAAUGGCAUUCAGUAUUUCUGAGGCUCAAAAGGCAAGCUAUAGAACAAUGCCGACCUCUUAACAAGCCACAUUUUAAA